UAGGAGUGAUUUUGGGAGAUAGUUGGAUAUCCCCUGAAGAUUUUGUGUUUUCAUGGGGACCUCUUCUCAAGCAUGUCUCUAGGCUUGAUGACAAUGGCUUGGAUAGCUCUAAUAGCUUAGCAGAGAAGAUUAAAAGACAAAUUAAAAAUGGUGAAUACGUUGGAGCGACGCAAACAUGGAUGGACCUCGAAAACUUGAUUAGUUCCAAAUCCAAUUUCGUCGUAAAUUAUUUCUC